rnacentral:rRNA from 1 species
UACAGAGGGUGCAAGCGUUAAUCGGAAUUACUGGGCGUAAAGCGUGCGUAGACGGUUCCGUAAGUCGGGUGUGAAAGCCCCGGGCUCAACCUGGGAAUUGCAUUCGAGACUGCGAAGCUAGGGUGCGGAAGAGGGAAGCGGAAUUUCUGGUGUAGCGGUGAAAUGCGUAGAUAUCAGAAGGAACAUCAGUGGCGAAAGCGGCUUCCUGGUCCAGCGCCGACGUUCAAGCACGAAAGCGUGGGGAGCAAACAG